UACGUAGGGGUCGAGCGUUGUCCGGAUUUAUUGGGCGUAAAGAGCGUGUAGGCGGCCAUGCAGGUCCGUUGUGAAAACUCGAGGCUCAACCUCGAGACGCCGAUGGAAACCGCAUGGCUAGAGUCCGGAAGAGGAGAGUGGAAUUCCUGGUGUAGCGGUGAAAUGCGCAGAUAUCAGGAAGAACACCCGUGGCUAAGGCGGCUCUCUAGUACGGUACUGACGCUGAGACGCGAAAGCGUGGGGAGCGAACAGG
rnacentral:rRNA from 1 species